rnacentral:rRNA from 1 species
AGUGAACGCUGGCGGUAGGCCUAACACAUGCAAGUCGAACGGCAGCACAGUAAGAGCUUGCUCUUACGGGUGGCGAGUGGCGGACGAGUGAGGAGUACAUCGGAAUCUACUUUUUCGUGGGGGAUAACGUAGGGAAACUUACGCUAAUACCGCAUACGACCUACGGGUGAAAGCAGGGGAUCUUCGGACCUUGCGCGAUUGAAUGAGCCGAUGUCGGAUUAGCUAGUUGGCGGGGUAAAGGCCCACCAAGGCGACGAUCCGUAGCUGGUCUGAGAGGAUGAUCAGCCACACUGGAACUGAGACACGGUCCAGACUCCUACGGGAGGCAGCAGUGGGGAAUAUUGGACAAUGGGCGCAAGCCUGAUCCAGCCAUACCGCGUGGGUGAAGAAGGCCUUCGGGUUGUAAAGCCCUUUUGUUGGGAAAGAAAAGCAGCAGGUUAAUACCCCGCUGUUCUGACGGUACCCAAAGAAUAAGCACCGGCUAACUUCGU